UGGUUCUGGCAUCGAUGAAGAACGCAGCGAAAUGUGAUACGUAGUGUGAAUUGCAGAAUUCCGUGAAUCAUCGAAUCUUUGAACGCACAUUGCGCCUGCUGGUAUUCCAGCAGGCAUGCCUGUUCGAGCAUUAUGAAAAGGGUCAGGCCAUGCCUGGUGUUGGGCUGUGUCUGCUGGAAGCGGGAGACUGGCCUGGAAUAGAUUGGCAGCCUGGCGAAGCAAGGACGCGCAGCACAAGAGGCGUGGAUUUGUGGGAGCAGGGGACCAUGAAGAUAUACAUGUAGAUCUCGAAUCAGGUAGGGAUACCCGCUGA
rnacentral:misc_RNA from 1 species